CCACGGGUGGCAGCAGUGAGGAAUAUUGGUCAAUGGGCGAGAGCCUGAACCAGCCAAGUCGCGUGAAGGAUGACGGCCCUACGGGUUGUAAACUUCUUUUGUCAGGGAGCAAUUGGGUCCACGCGUGGGCUUAGCGAGAGUACCUGAAGAAAAAGCAUCGGCUAACUCCGUGCCAGCAGCCGCGGUAAUACGGAGGAUGCGAGCGUUAGCCGGGUUGUUUGGGGUUAAGGGGUGCGUAGGCGGAAUAUAAGUCCAGCGGUAAAAAUUCGGGGCUAAACCCCGUCGUGCCUGUGAAACUGAUGUUCUUGAGUGGGCGAGAGGUAUGCGGAAUGCGUGGUGUAGCGGUGAAAUGCAUAGAUAUCACGCAGAACACCGAUUGCGAAGGCAGCAUACCGGAGCCCAACUGACGCUGAGGCACGAAAGCGUGGGUAUCGAACAGGAUUAGAUACCCCAGUAGUC
rnacentral:rRNA from 1 species